AACUACUUCCGCGGCAAAUCCGCGCCCAGCGCGCCAGAGCCUCUCUGCUGCCCUGCAGCCGCCUGGGGUCUGGCGGGGAAGCAGCUCAGCCGGCAGCUGCUGGGUGUGCUCAACUCUCGCCAAAGCUCAGCACCCGGAAUGGGGCCUCCUAAGUGGAAAAGGGGGCUCAGAGGCUGUGGAGCCAAAGUCACAGGAAAUUACUAAGGUCUCCUACACCCUUCAAAUAGAUCUUUCUGCCUUUGCAGGACGUGUCUGCAGGGUAGAACCUUGACCCCAGGUUGGCUGCAAGUUGUAUAAGAAAUUAAAUGAGGACCUCGGCAGGCAUCAAAGAGCCCCACUCCAUCCCGCCCUCGUCCCGCCCCCCAGCCACCAGCAUAGCUGUGAGUGCCUGCAGGACACACACACCCCACCCCACCUCCUGGCUGUGCCUCUACCUGGUUCCACACUACAGAGGCUCUGGGGGUAUAAAGGCCAUUGUCCUGAGCUGCAGAAGAGAACAACAGUUAGAGGGCCUCUCUCGGUCUCCUUGAUGAAAACAGAAGUCCACUGAAAAAGUGAAGAGAAUCUCUGCAAUAAAGGCACACCAGACCACCGUACUUGAUGGCUCACUUCAGGAGUUGGUCGGUCGGAGGUACUGAUGGCAAACGAAGCACGGCUCAGUGGGGGUCUUUACGGUCACCAGGGACACGCCGGGCCCCAGCACGGGGCAGAAGACCUCAUGGAGUCAUCAGCACCCAAAGUCUUCUGUGGAAUGAGAAGCCUCAUUCACUGCAAUUUUAAAAAGGAAAAGGAGAGUGAGAACAUGUAGAUUAAAGAGACUGAAGAGGAAGAUUUGUCUGCAAAAUGUAGUGUUUGGAAUGUGUUGAGCUUGGAUUGAAACUUCAGGCACAUACAUAUCUAUCUAUGAAUAUGCACACAGAUUUAUCCGCAUGUCACAGAUUUGUAAUGUGACAGUUUUUUAUUGUAGCAGUGGGGACUGAACCCAAGACAGAAGCUGGGGUUUUUUUGGUUUUUUAGACAAGGUCUCAGGAAGACUCUAAAUUGCUUAAGCUGGGUUUAAAUUUAUGAUCUUUCCACUCAUCCUCUCAAAGUGUUGGGAUUACGGGCCAGCAUCCCCACACCCAGCGCAAUGAGACUGCUUAACCUGCUUCAUAUAUUUAAUAAAGUUCUCUCUGCUAACGACCUGGGGUGUGAUAAUGGGAUAUAAUAUUUUUAAAGAGACUAUGUUAUAGAGAC